AUAAUGUUGCUUUAGCAACGGCCCGAAGGGCGAGGCAAAGCCGAGUCAUCCUGCACGACCCACCA
rnacentral:sRNA from 1 species